AAGUCCCGGAGCCCUUCGGGGCUCUUCUUCAAACUUGCAUUUUGAUGUGAUAACACCUCGAGACUU
rnacentral:tRNA from 1 species